UACGUAGGGUGCAAGCGUUAAUCGGAAUUACUGGGCGUAAAGCGUGCGCAGGCGGUGAUGUAAGACAGAUGUGAAAUCCCCGGGCUCAACCUGGGAACUGCAUUUGUGACUGCAUCGCUAGAGUACGGCAGAGGGGGGAUGGAAUUCCGCGUGUAGCAGUGAAAUGCGUAGAUAUGCGGAGGAACACCGAUGGCGAAGGCAAUCCCCUGGGCCUGUACUGACGCUCAUGCACGAAAGCGUGGGGAGCAACAGG
rnacentral:rRNA from 1 species